UCGCCCAUUAAAGUGGUACGCGAGCUGGGUUCAGAACGUCGUGAGACAGUUCGGUCCCUAUCCGUCGCAGGCGUAGGAAAUUUGAGAAGACCUGUCCUUAGUACGAGAGGACCGGGAUGGACGUACCGCUGGUGUACCAGUUGUUCUGCCAAGGGCAUGGCUGGGUAGCUAUGUACGGAAUGGAUAAGCGCUGAAAGCAUCUAAGCGCGAAGCCAACUUCAAGAUAAGAUUUCCCACCGCAAGGGUAAGACCCCAGAAAGACUAUCUGGUUGAUAGGUCGAAGGUGUAAGUGCAGCAAUGUAUUUAGCUUAUCGAUACUAAUAGGUCGAGGACUUGACCAAAUU
rnacentral:rRNA from 1 species